CAGUAGUCACGAGUUUGAUCCGGCUCAGAGUGAACGCUGGCGGCAUGCCUAACACAUGCAAGUCGAACGAAUUUUGACAGUUUAUCGUCAGAGUUAGUGGCAAACGGGUGAGUAAUACGUGGACAAUCUUCCCUCGAGCGGGGGAUAACUCCGGGAAACCGGAGCUAAUACCGCGUGAGACCACGUCCUGGCAUCAGGAUGAGGUUAAAGCUCCGCAAGGGGCGCUUGAGGAGGGGUUCACGGCCUAUCAGCUAGUUGGCGGGGUUAAAGCCCACCAAGGCGACGACGGGUAACCGGUCUGAAGGACGACCGGUCACAAUGGCACUGAGACACGGGCCAUACUCCUACGGGAGGCAGCAGUGGGGAAUUUUGCGCAAUGGGGGAAACCCUGACGCAGCGAUGCCGCGUGGAGGACGAAGGUCUUCGGAUUGUAAACUCCUUUUAGUCGGUGAAAAUNUUUGCGUGAAUAACGCAAACUGAUUGUAUCCGGCGAAUAAGCCACGGCUAACUUCGUAG
rnacentral:rRNA from 1 species